rnacentral:misc_RNA from 1 species
CUUGGUCAUUUAGAGGAAGUAAAAGUCGUAACAAGGUUUCCGUAGGUGAACCUGCGGAAGGAUCAUUCAUAAUAAGUGUUUUAUGGCACUUUUUAAAUCCAUAUCCACCUUGUGUGCAAUGUCAGUCGAUCUUCUUCAUGGAGAUCGGCCAAACAUCAACCUUAUCUUCUAACUCUUUGUCUGAAAAAUAUUAUGAAUAAACAAUUCAAAAUACAACUUUCAACAACGGAUCUCUUGGCUCUCGCAUCGAUGAAGAACGCAGCGAAAUGCGAUACGUAAUGUGAAUUGCAGAAUUCAGUGAAUCAUCGAAUCUUUGAACGCAUAUUGCGCUCUUUGGUAUUCCGAAGAGCAUGCUUGUUUGAGUAUCAGUAAACACCUCAAAGCUUUUGGAUUUUUUUUUUUUGAAAGCUUAGGACUUGAGCAAUCCCAACACCAAUCUUUUUCAGAUCGGCGGCGGGUUGCUUGAAAUGCAGGUGCAGCUGGACUUUCUCCUGAGCUAAAAGCAUAUUCAUUUAGUCCCGUCAAACGGAUUAUUACUUUUGCUGCAGCUAACAUAAAGGGAGUUUGACCGCAUUGGCUGACUGAUGCAGGAUUUCACAAGGGUCGGCAACGAUUCUUGUUAAACUCGAUCUCAAAUCAAGUAAGACUACCCGCUGAACUUAAGCAUAUCAAUAAGCGGAGGA